GAUGAACGCUAGCGGCAGGCUUAAUACAUGCAAGUCGUGGGGCAGCAUGAGUAGCAAUACUUGAUGGCGACCGGCAAACGGGUGAGGAACACGUACACAACCUUCCUUCAAGCGGGGAAUAGCCCAGAGAAAUUUGGAUUAAUACCCCAUAAUAUAUUUGAUAAGGCAUCUUAUUAAAUAUUAAAGCUUCGGCACUUGAUGAUGGGUGUGCGGCUGAUUAGAUAGUUGGCGGGGUAACGGCCCACCAAGUCUACGAUCAGUAGCUGAUGUGAGAGCAUGAUCAGCCACACGGGCACUGAGACACGGGCCCGACUCCUACGGGAGGCAGCAGUAAGGAAUAUUGGACAAUGGACGAAGUACUGAUCCAGCCAUGCCGCGUGAAGGAUUAAGGUCCUCUGGAUUGUAAACUUCUUUUAUAUGGGACGAAAAAGGGCAUUCUGUUCACUUGACGGUACCAUAUGAAUAAGCACCGGCUAACU
rnacentral:rRNA from 1 species